UUUGUCAGCUGUUCUCAAGUUACACAUGCAUGUUCCGCUCACCCGUGAGAACGCCCUUUACACCUUCAUUAGGAUAAGGAGUUGGUAUCGGCCAGAACAUCUUGCCCAUAACACCUAGCUACGCCACGCCCUCAAGGGUAUUCAGCAUUGAAAACAUUGUUAUAGGCCAGCUUGAUCCAGUUAGAGUAAACAGAGCCGGCAACCCGGUGCCGCCGCCGCGGCUAUACCGUCGGGCCCAAGUGAGAGUUCGGCGUUAAGCGUGUUUAAAGUGUUCCCCCUAGCCGUAAACAUUUAUUCACAUUCUUAACCGCCAGGGAAUUACGAGCCCAAGCUUAAAACCCAAAGGACUUGACGGUGUCCCACCCACCUAGAGGAGCCUGUUCUAUAAUCGAUUCUCCCCGAUAAACCUCACCACUUCUAGCCUACUCAGCCUGUAUACCUCCGUCGUAAGCUUACCAUAUGAACGUUGAAUUAGUGAGCCAAAAGAUUAACCAUCAAUACGUCAGGUCAAGGUGCAGCUCACGAAGCGGGAAGCAAUGGGCUACAGUUUCUAACUUAGAAUAAACGAAAGACUACAUGAAACACAGUCAUGAAGGCGGAUUUAGUAGUAAAAAGAAAAUAGAGAGUUCUUUUUAAUCAGGCGCUGGGACGCGUACACACCGCCCGUCACCCUCUUCAAACGCAACUGUAAUGUUAAUAACACCAUUUUGCACAACAGAAGAGGUAAGUCGUAACACGGUAAGCGUACUGGAAAGUGCGCUUGGAUUA
rnacentral:rRNA from 1 species